AUUGAACGCUGGCGGCAGGCUUAACACAUGCAAGUCGAGCGGGGUGAUGGUGCUUGCACUAUCACUUAGCGGCGGACGGGCGAGUAAUGCUUAGGAAUCUGCCUAUUAGUGGGGGACAACAUCUCGAAAGGGAUGCUAAUACCGCAUACGUCCUACGGGAGAAAGCAGGGGAUCACUUGUGACCUUGCGCUAAUAGAUGAGCCUAAGUCGGAUUAGCUAGUUGGUGGGGUAAAGGCCUACCAAAGCGACGAUCUGUAGCGGGUCUGAGAGGAUGGUCGGCCACACUGGGACUGGGACAAGGCCCAGACUCCUACGGGAGGCAGCAGUGGGGAAUAUUGGACAAUGGGGGGAACCCUGAUCCAGCCAUGCCGCGUGUGUGAAGAAGGCCUUAUGGUUGUAAAGCACUUUAAGCGAGGAGGAGGCUCUUUUGGUUAAUACCCAAGAUGAGUGGACGUUACUCGCAGAAUAAGCACCGGCUAACUCUGUGCCAGCCGCCGCGGUAA
rnacentral:rRNA from 1 species